rnacentral:rRNA from 1 species
UAGGGAAUUUUCCACAAUGGACGAAAGUCUGAUGGAGCGACACAGCGUGCAGGAUGAAGGCCUUCGGGUUGUAAACUGCUGUUAUAAGGGAAGAAAAAACAAUAGAGGAAAUGCUAUUGUCUUGACGGUACCUUGUCAGAAAGCAACGGCUAACUAUGUGCCAGCAGCCGCGGUAAUACAUAGGUUGCAAGCGUUAUCCGGAAUUAUUGGGCGUAAAGCGUCUGUAGGUUGUAUGUUAAGUCUGGCGUGAAAACUUGGGGCUCAACCCCAAAUUGCGUUGGAUACUGGCAUACUAGAAUUGUGUAGAGGUUAGCGGAAUUCCUAGUGAAGCGGUGAAAUGCGUAGAUAUUAGGAAGAACAUCAACAUGGCGAAGGCAGCUAACUGGGCACAUAUUGACACUGAGAGACGAAAGCGUGGGGAGCAAACAG